rnacentral:lncRNA from 1 species
CUGGAAAGGACUAUAGGAAAAAAUCUAGCAUUACACGUCUGUUUGAUAAUUACGGAAUUGGAGGCCAAAGAAUAAGGGUAAAUUAGAGGUUUUGCGAUUUGAACCAGCCCUCUGAUUCCUGGUUCAAUGACAUCUCAAUUCAGCUCCAACAUUUAUUUAGCAUUUGCAGAGUAUCCUCUGUGUGAGGUGUAAUAAGUACUAUGAGUACAAGAGACAUAUAUAUAUUUUUACUGUAUGUAUUGUGAGCAUACAUACAUGUUUAUUAUGUGUGAAAAGUAUCUUAGAUGCAACUACCUC